GAUGAACGCUGGCGGCGUGCCUAAUACAUGCCAGUCGAGCGAACAGACGAGGCGCUUGCUCCUCUGACGUUAGCGGCGGACGGGUGAGUCACAUGUGGAUCACCUACCUAUAAGUCUGGUAUAACUUCGGGACACCGGCGCUAAUCCCGGAUAAUAUCUUGCACCGCAUGGUUCAAUAGUGAAAGACGGCUUUGCUGUCACUUCUCGCUGGUUCCCGGCCGCAUUAGCUAGUUGGUAAGGUAAAGGCUUACCAAGGCAACGAUGCGUAGCCGACGUGAGGGGGUGAUCGGCCACACUGGAGGUGGGACGCGGUCCAGACUCCUACGGGAGGCAGCAGUAGGGAAUCUUCCGCAAUGGGCGAAAGCCUGACGGAGCAACGCCGCGUGAGUGAUGAAGGUCUUCGGAGCGUAAAACUCUGUUAUGAGGGAAGAACAAAUGUGUAAGGAACUAUGCACGUCGUGACGGUACCGGGUCAGAAAGCCACGGCUAACUACGUG
rnacentral:rRNA from 1 species